GUGCCCGUAGCUCAGUUGGUAGAGCUCCUGGUUGUGGUCCAGGCGGCCGCGGGUUCAAGUCCCGUCGGGCACC
rnacentral:tRNA from 1 species